rnacentral:lncRNA from 1 species
CGGCUGGACCGGAGCCCAGCCAGGGCCGCGAGGAGGGGGUGGGCGGGAGUGGGGGAGGAAAGAUAACUAGGGCGUGCGCCGCCCGCUCCCUCGCUCCUCCCUGGUCCCCUCCACUCCCAGGGAGAGGGGCCCGGGUGGGGUGAUUCCCAGGUUCUAAGACCCGCCCCGCCGGGUGGAAAACUGCCCUGGAGCUAGCUCGGUCUAGCAGAGGACGCAGGACUAAGACCCAGGGGGAAUGGAUAAGGGGGCAGGUCCUGGGGGUGAGACAGAGCCACCCUUAGGCAGCAACCCUUAGGUUGCCUCGAUGGCCCUUGACCCUCUCUGAACGGACAGCCCUGCCCCGGAACUGGGAGGAAAGAAGGAAACAAGAUUGAGCGCCAAGUAGCAACCCCAGUGCCUAAGAAAUCCACCUCUCAAAUUCGCCUCUCCUCGCCCUCCUGUCCUUCGGGAAAUGCUCAGCCUACGCACAC